AAAUUAAAUGGCGUUCUCGUGUAAGAGAUCGCAUUGCUAGAAUCAGCAAAGGAGCUGGUGUAGAACGCUAGUCCCAAACCAAUGAGCUUUGUGCUUGAGGGUGGAAGCAACUUUUUGAAGAGCAAAUACUACGGUGAGCACAUUCGGAUGUUGCAUAACCUAUUGUAAAUUGCGCUUAGAAUCCCGGUACUGCUGGUCAGGUUUAUCAGGCUGUUGGACCAUAGCGUUACCAGUUGAGCGAAUUAAUUGACUGGUUUCAUCCUGUUAUGCGCAAAGAUGAAAAAUGGUGGGGAUACGUCAUUAAGACAUGUGUUGUGAUCCUACCUUCUUAUUGGAAGCCAAGUUCACGAAUGUAUUACCGAUGUCGUUCCCUCCAACAUACCGUGGUUGAAGAAUUUUGGUGUACAAUCAAUGGAAGAGCAAGUACCAUGAGAAUUAUGACCAUAUCGUGCUGCGCAAUAUUAUGAUGCCGAAUUGGGGAGUGGGGGGAACCAGCUCCACCAAAACCGAUAGAACAUCGGGAUGAACUACGAAAAUAAUAAACAACACUCAUCAAAUGAAAGUUGACAGCGUUGGUGACUAAACAGCAAUUUGAAAAGAAACAUUUGCAUCUACGCGAAUUACAAUUCGUCUUUACAUCUAGUGAAUUAUGGUCGAUUAUGAAUGGUGUGGAAGUUGAUAUUUAAACUUUAAAAAACAAAUAAAUGUAAUUUGGCUAAUAUUGAUAUUUAAACUUUAAAAAAUAAAUAAAUGUAAUUUGGCUAAUAAUGAGCCGCUAUUAAGU